rnacentral:lncRNA from 1 species
GAGGGUGUCCCCACCUCGGAUUGAACCCCCACGGCGCCUCGGACGCGAGGAAGAAAAAUUUCCCCUUCCACUCAUGUAUAGAGGAAGGGGCCCCGUGAAAGAGCGACAUACCGCCUCGGAAGGCAAAGUAUAGCCACUCCGCGUCCGCCGGGUUCUUCUUUAAUAAGAAACACCGACGGAAGACGCUCACGGUAAUCGGGAUCCCAUGCCCGAGACACAGGGAGAGGAACCCGAUGAUGGUUCUCCACGAGUUCGGAGCGAGCUGUGC